AUAUGGUGCAGUAUGUCCAAUAUAAAUAUGAGGGCGGGGGUGGUAGAUAGAUGUAUAAUCAGGCAUGUCUCCCUUUCAGAUAGGGUUAAGAUUAAUGGUCUUAAGAUGAAUCUUCUGGAUGGCUCAGGAUAGUAAAAAAUAAAGAAUAUAGUGCAGAUUGUAUUAAAAAUGACAAAUUUAUUGCACAAUAUUGCACUUACAAGAUUGCAGAUAAAAUCAAGCGUAUCUCCAC